rnacentral:rRNA from 1 species
CAGCCGCCGCGGUAAUACGUAGGUGGCAAGCGUUGUCCGGAAUUAUUGGGCGUAAAGGGCUCGCAGGCGGUCUCUUAAGUCUGAUGUGAAAGCCCCCGGCUCAACCGGGGAGGGUCAUUGGAAACUGGGAAACUUGAGUGCAGAAGAGGAGAGUGGAAUUCCACGUGUAGCGGUGAAAUGCGUAGAGAUGUGGAGGAACACCAGUGGCGAAGGCGACUCUCUGGUCUGUAACUGACGCUGAGGAGCGAAAGCGUGGGGAGCGAACAGGAUUAGAUACCCCUGUAGUCCCUGUCUCUUAUAC